rnacentral:tRNA from 1 species
AAGGGUAUAGCUCAAGUGGUAGAGCGCAUGUUUAGCAUGCAUGAGGUCCUGGGCUCAAUCCCCAGUACCUCCU